GCUUGUCAUGGCGACGACAACCUCUCCACUAACUGAUCUCCAAUUCAAUAUCCACUUUCGAAAAGUUGAAGCAAUGGCUUUGAAUUCGAGCUGCUUCUUGUCCCUGCCGUCCUAUGUUCGUCGUAAUCACAGAGUUCCACUUCGUAUUUGCUUACCACUUUUGCAUUCUUCUGCUAUUCGGCGCCGCAGAUCUUUACGGAACUGCCUUCUGUGAGUUCAAGUUUUGUGUCCAUUUUUCCCUGUGGAGUAACUUUGUAAUCUGUUUAUGUUUCAUUUUUCUCACGACGGUGCGAUUUCUUAAGGUGAAUUCAUAGAAAUGGAUUUUGGAUUUUCAAUAAUGAAUUUUCGUCCAGUUUUGUUGUUUUUGGUUUAUGGUGGUGUUUUUGCUCUCGGAUAGUGCAGUUCUAAGUUCACUUCUCAUAGAAUUGGAUUGCAAGGUCAUGAUGCUAUUUGCUUGUAAAUUAUGGAUGCUGUAUAGCUGGAAAUUGAGGUUGAUCGAUGAAACAGAACCUUAGUUGGAGAGUGGAGUUAAAUUGAAACCUAAUUCAGCUUAAUAAAAUAUAUGUAAGAAUAAGAACCUAAAGGAUGAAUUGUAUAGUUUCAGUUUCAUCUCUCUUUACUCAGCGAUUAAUUUUGGCCUUUGUUAGAUGUGGAGGCGAUGGUCACUCCUGAUGAUCUGUCUCUUGAAGUGAAGGUUAGACAUCGUUUCUGUAGCCUCAAGUUUCCAUGUUAUAGUGAACUGAAUGAAUGGAAGAAACAUAAGUUUUAAACCUCAGAGAAUCCUUUUUGUACUUCUUUUUCGCUCUGUUUAAGUCUUGUGUCCUGAUGGUGCAUUUAGAUUGGUUCUUGUUGGCUUCAUUUUUCUCGUAGCCUGAGCAGUUUAUUUACAUUGCUCAGUUUGAAUUCGAAAGAACGAAAUGAAUGUUGCUACUAAAUUGAAAGGAACAUCCAUCUUUCUCGUGGGCAAGCACUGAUCUUCUAUACUGAGGCAAUUUAGAUUUAUGACAAACUAAUGUAUGAAACUAUUUGAUAUGAAGGGAUCAACAGCUCCAUAAAAACUAAGUUAGCCAAAUUCCUGGCUGAUAGGUUGAGAUACUAUUACUUCGACAGGUACUCAUAGAGGUACUUUUUUUCUUGGCGUGUGGUAUUGUUCUCCUUCCUGUUGCUAAUUCUGAAUUUUCAUGUCAUAAACAAAUUAGUGAUCGUUUAGUUGUGGGAGCUAGUGGUGGUGAGGCUGCUGCCGAACUUUAGAAGCUAAGUGAUGAAAAAGGUUUUCGGGCAUCUUAGGUAGGUUAUGCUUUGUUGUAUCUUCUCAGAAGUUAUUUAGUCAAAACUGGCAGUUUAGUAGCACCUUUUUUUUAACUCCGUUUUCUAGAUUUUUGUACGUGAAGACACAUAUUGAAUGUCUGUUGAGGAUUAUUGGGGGGAGUCUCACAUUGGCUAAUUAAGAGAAUGAUCAUGAGUUUAUAAGCAAGGAAUACAUCUCCAUUGGUACGAGGGGUUCUUUGGAGAAACUAAAAGCCUCUAUGAGAGCUUAUGCUCAAAGUAGACAAUGUCAUACCAUUGAGGAGCGUUGUGAUUUCUAACAAAUACAUCUUUCAUAUAAUGCUCAAUACAUACUAGUAACAGCCACAGGUACCUGACAUGCCAUUUUGUUCCAAACUGAAGAGUUAAGACGACUAUCUUCUAUGGGUCGACUAGUUGUGUGUGCUGGAAAUGGUGCCGUUCAGAGAUCUACUAAUCUGUAUGAAUGUUCAAUGCUUAAUUUUUACUGUUUUAGUGCACAUAUUCUUCAUGGAAAAAUUUCCUCGUAGUUAAGGAUGUGUUCAAAUUGCUUAUGCUCACGUUGCUCUUGGAUAUCAUUUCGCAUGCAGGGCGCUUUUGAGGCAUAGCAUAACGUUCUGGAUUUAUUUACCCCUACAGAUGAUAGCAGAGGAAUUUGCUGUAGAUCGAAGCCAACUUCCAGUAUUUGAUAUAUCCAAUUCUGGAUCUUAUGGUGAGAUUUUCACACCUUUGUAAAAAAUGUUUGUUCCCC